GUCCAUGCCGUAAACGGUGGGAACUAGGUGUGGGGUCCAUUCCACGGAUUCUGCGCCGAAGCUAACGCAUUAAGUUCCCCGCCUGGGGAGUACGGCCGCAAGGCUAAAACUCAAAGGAAUUGACGGGGCCCGGCACAAGCGGCGGAGCAUGCGGAUUAAUUCGAUGCAACGCGAAGAACCUUACCAAGGCUUGACAUAUAUUCGAAGCUAUUAGAGAUAGUAGUGCCUUUUGGGCGGAUAUACAGGUGGUGCAUGGUUGUCGU
rnacentral:rRNA from 1 species